rnacentral:rRNA from 1 species
CACCCCCCCCGUGCCGCAGCUAACGUGUUAAGUGUGCCGCCUGGGGAGUACGGCCGCAAGGCUAAAACUCAAAGAAAUUGACGGGGGCCCGCACAAGCGGAGGAGCAUGUGGCUUAAUUCGAUGCAACGCGAAGAACCUUACCCGGGUUUGACAUGUGACUGCACGUCCCGUGAAAGCGGGAUUCCUUCGAGGGUGUCACACAGGUGCUGCAUGGCUGUCGUCAGUUCGUGCCGUGAGGUGUUUGGUUAAGUCCAGCAACGAACGCAACCCCUGUGGCCAGUUGCCAGCGCGUAAUGGCGGGAACUCUGGCCAGACUGCCUGUUUACACAGGAGGAAGGUGGGGACGACGUCAAGUCAGUAUGGCCCUUACAUCCGGGGCUGCACACGUGCUACAAUGGCCGGUACAAAGGGACGCAAGACCGCGAGGUGGAGCAAACCCCCAGAGCCGGCCCCAGUUCAGAUUGCGGUCUGCAACCCGACCGCAUGAAGUCGGAUUCGC